CUGGUUGAUCCUACUAGUAGUCAUAUGCUUGUCUCAAAGAUUAAGCCAUGCAUGUGUAAGUAUGAACUAAUUCAGACUGUGAAACUACGAAUGGCUCAUUAAAUUAGUUAUAGUUUGUUUGAUGGUAUCUGCUACUCGGGUAACCGUAGUAAUUCUAGAGCUAAUACGUGCAACAAACCUCGACUUUUGGAAGGGAUGCAUUUAUUCGAUAAAAAGUCGAUGUAGGCUCUGCCUGUUGCUCUGAUGAUUCAUGAUAAUUCGACAGAUUGCACGACCAUCAUGUCGGCGAUGCAUCAUUCAAAUUUCUGCCCUAUCAACUUUCGAUGGUAGGAUAAAGGCCUACUAUGGUGGUGAUGGGUGACGGAGAAUUAAGGUUCGAUUCUGGAAAGGGAGCCUGAGAAAUGGCUACCACAUCCAAGGAAUGCCGUAGGCGCAUAAAUUACCUAAUCCUGACACGGGGAGGUAGUGACAAUCAAUAACAAUAUCGAGCUCUUAUGAGUCUGGUAAUUGGAAUGAGUUCAAUCUAAACCCUUAACGAGGAUCCAUUGGAGGGUAAGUGUGGUGCUAGUAGCUGCAGUAAUUCUAGCUCCAAUAGUGUAUAUUUAAGUUAUUGCAGUUAAAAAGCUCAUAGUUGGAUCUUGGGUUGGGCGGAUUGGUCCGCCCCUAGUGUGCACCGGUCCGCUCACCUUUUUUGUCGGUGAUGCGCUCCUAGCCUUAACUGGCCAGGUCAUGCCUUCGGUGCUGUUACUUUGGGGAAAUUAGAGUGCUUAAAGCAAGCCUUACGCUCUGGAUACAUUAGCAUGGGAUAACAUCAUAGGAUUUCGGUCUUAUUGUGUUGGCCUUCAAGAUCGAAGUAAUGAUUAACAGGAACAGUCGGGGGCAUUUGUAUUUCAUAGUUAGAGGUAAAAUUCUUAGAUUUAUGAAAAAUGAACAACUACGAAAGCAUUUGCCAAGGAUGUUUUCAUUAAUCAAGAAUGAAAGUUGAGGGCUCAAAGACGAUCAGAUACCGUCCUAGUCUCAACCAUAAACAAUGCCGACUUGGGAUCGGCGGAUGUUGUUUUCAAGACUCCACCGGCACCUUAUGAGAAAUCAAAGUCUUUGGGUUCUGGGGGAAGUAUGGUCGCAAGGCUAAAACUUAAAGGAAUUGACGGAAGGGCACCACUAGGAGUGGAGCCUGUGGCUUAAUUUGACUCAACCCAGGGAAACUUACUAAGUCCAGAGAUAGUAAGGAUUGAUAAACUGAUAGCUCUUUCUUGAUUCUAUGGGUGGUGGUGCAUGGCUGUUCUUAGUUGGUGGAACAAUUUGUCUGGUUAAUUUCAUUAACGAAUGAGACCUCAGCCUGUUAACUAGCUAUGCGGAGGUGACCUUCCGCAGCCAGCUUCUUAGAAGGACCACGGCCGAUUAGGCCGCGGAAGUUUGAGGUAAUAACAGGUCUGUGAUGCCAUUAGAUGUUUUAGGCUGCACGCGUUCUACACUGAUGUACUCAACGAGUCUAUAGCCUUGGCCAACAAGCCUGGGUAAUCUUUAAAAUUUUAUCGUGAUGAGGAUAGAUCAUUGUAAUUAUUGGUCUUCAACGAGGAAUUCCUAGUAAGUGCGAGUCAUUAGCUCACGUUAACUAUGUCCCUGCCCUUUGUACACACCGCUCGUCGCUCUUACUGAUUGAAUAGUCUGGUGAAGUGUUCGGAUUGUGGCGAUGUGGGCGGUUCGUUGUCGGUGAUGUUUUGAGAAGUCCACUGAACCUUAUCAUUUAGAUGAAGGAGAAGUCAUAACAAGGUUUUCGUAAGUGAACCUGCGAAAG
rnacentral:rRNA from 1 species